rnacentral:lncRNA from 1 species
CGACCCCGCAUCAACCAUGCCAGGGGACAGGCACCAGUGAGCAUUCCCUGCCUGGGGGUGGGCAGGAGGAGGAGGACAGGGGAUUGGUCCAGCUCCCGCGCGUGGGGCAAGGGCGGUGGGGGGGAGGGGGCGGUGACGAGGGGUGGGGGGGGCAGUCGGGCGACAGGACGUGGCCAUCCCCGGUCCACAGUUCGCAAGAGGAUCCGGAGGGCAAGCGCCAGCGGCCACCGGCAGGGAGACUGACAGCCGCCUCUCGGGGCGCCCGUGCGCCGGCCCAGAGCCCGGCUGUCGGGGCGCAGCCGCGCCCCCGGGACCCUCCUUCCUGGGCACAGGGACUUCCUGCCGCUGUGGCUACGGUUGCGGGCCGGGGCCGGGGCCGGGGCCGGGGCCGGGGCAGCGAGCGGGAAGGCGGCGGUGCCCCAGCCCGGUUGCCGGGGCCGCUCUGGCCGCUUCUCUUCCUUUCCGUGGUCCUCAUCUCCCUCCCGCCGGCCUUCCUGAGCCACGAGCUCCAGGUCGUUGCGCCGAACGACCACGGAAAAGAUGGAGUUUUCGCUGGGGUUGGUGGCGUUGGGUUUCUCUGGUCUGCAGGUGGCAGUGUUGCGCCGUGCAGCCGCCCUCCUGCCCCGCCCUUCGUGCUUGAAAAAACUGAGCACGAAGCGGCGCCUCCUUUCUGCGCCCCUGCGGGCCAGGCUGGGUGGGACUGGAUCCGCUCCCUUCCGUCGCGUCCCUGCUGAAAACCCACUGCCUUCAGAGGAAACCCCUUUGCUUUUCCUAUUGCCUUUUCUUCUAAGGAGUUGCCUGGAUUCCUGAGCAGCUAGUAUUUCUCUUCUCUGAGUGGUCUUGUCAUUGUCUUUCCCCAAGUUGUUUUGGGUUUUAUGGACCUUUAUUAACGUAUUCUUCAGUUAACGCCAGUCACUCAACCUCACUGUAGAAAAUUGAGAGGACGGAUCAAAUAUAAUAAAGAAAGUAAUCCAAACCA